rnacentral:rRNA from 1 species
UAAGGAAUAUUGGUCAAUGGACGCAAGUCUGAACCAGCCAUGCCGCGUGGAGGAUUAAGGCCCUCUGGGUUGUAAACUCCUUUUAUCUGGGAAGAAAUGUACUUUUUCUUGAGUACUUGACGGUACCAGAGGAAUAAGCACCGGCUAACUCCGUGCCAGCAGCAGCGGUAAUACGGAGGGUGCAAGCGUUAUCCGGAUUCACUGGGUUUAAAGGGUGCGUAGGUGGGCAGGUAAGUCAGUGGUGAAAUCUCCGGGCUUAACCCGGAAACUGCCGUUGAUACUAUUUGUCUUGAAUAUUGUGGAGGUAAGCGGAAUAUGUCAUGUAGCGGUGAAAUGCUUAGAUAUGACAUAGAACACCAAUUGCGAAGGCAGCUUACUACACAAUCAUUGACGCUGAGGCACGUAAGCGUGGGGAUCAAACA